UUUAAGGAAAGGUCAGCCGAACUAAGAUGGGCUCGCGUUCUAUCAGCUAGUUGGUAGGGUAAUGGCCUACCAAGGCUACGACGGAUAGCUGGUCUGAGAGGACGAUCAGCCACACUGGGACUGAGACACGGCCCAGACUCCUACGGGAGGCUGCAGCAGGGAAUAUUGCGCAAUGAGCGAAAGCUUGACGCAGCGACACCGCGUGUGGGAUGACGGAUCUAGGUUUGUAAACCACUUUCAGGAGGGAAGAAAAUGACGGUACCUCCACAAGAAGCCCCGGCCAACUACGUGCCAGCAGCCGCGGUAAUACGUAGGGGGCGAGCGUUGUCCGGAUUUAUUGGGCGUAAAGAGCUCGUAGGCGGUUCAACAAGUCGGUCGUGAAAGUUCAGGGCUCAACCCUGAAAUGUCGAUCGAUACUGUUGUGACUAGGAUACGGUAGAGGUGAGUGGAAUUCCGAGUGUAGCGGUGAAAUGCGUAGAUAUUCGGAGGAACACCAAUUGCGAAGGCAGCUCACUGGGCCGCUAUCGACGCUGAGGAGCGAAAGCUAGGGGAGCAAACAGGAUUAGAUACCCUGGUAGUCCUAGCUGUAAACGAUGGAUACUAGACGUAGGAAUUGGAUUAACGAUUUCUGUGUCGUAGCUAACGCGUUAAGUAUCCCGCCUGGGGAGUACGGUCGCAAGACUAAAACUCAAAGGAAUUGACGGGACCCCGCACAAGCGGCGGAGCAUGCGGCUUAAUUCGAUGAUACCCGUAGAACCUUACCUGGACUUGACAUAUAGGGAAAAGUUAUAGAAAUAUAAUGUGCAUUAGCGCCCUAUACAGGUGGUGCAUGGCUGUCGUCAGCUCGUGUCGUGAGAUGUUGGGUUAAGUCCCGCAACGAGCGC
rnacentral:rRNA from 1 species